rnacentral:rRNA from 1 species
AAUGAACGCUGGCGGCAUGCCUAAUACAUGCAAGUCGAACGGCAGGACGGGAAGCUUGCUUUUCUGCUGUUGGCGGCGGGCGGGUGAGUAACACGUAGAUCACCUACCUCUAAGACUGGGAUAACUUCGGGAAACCGGAGCUCCUACCGGCUCAUAUUUUGAACCGAAUGGUUCAAAAGAUCUAGACGGUCUUCCUGUCACUUAUAGAUGGAUCCGUGCUGGAUUAGCUAGUUGGUAAGGUAACGGCUUACCAAGGCAACGAUGCAUAGCCGAUCUGAGAGGGUGAUCGGCCACACUGGAACUGAGACACGGUCCAGACUCCUACGGGAGGCAGCAGUAGGGAAUCUUCGGCAAUGGGCGCAAGCCUGAUGGAGCCACGCCGCGUGAGUGAUGAAGGCCUUCGGAUUGUAAAACUCUGUUAUUAGGGAAGAACAGCUGCGGGAUUAUCCGUGGACAUCCUGACGGUACCUAAACAGAAAGCACCGGCUAACUACGUG